AUCAAAGUGACAAGGGUGUUGUGUAUAUAAGACUGUCCAGGAUCGUUGGUCAUCAGUCGAUCGACAGACUGCUACUGAUUCUACAAGAACCAUGAAAGUCUUCAUUAUCACAGUACUUGCUCUGGUGGCUUCAGCCGAAGCAGUUAAUCACUGUCCGAUGUGUAACAAAUGGACACCGUUUUUCAACCGAGACAAGCCAACGGGUAUUGGAGAUUUUGAGCUCCUUGUUCUUCACCGACAAGAAAAUCCUGGACAGAUCUGUGCUGCACCGGAGGUUGUGCAUGCUGAACGUCUCACGGGACUUUUUCGGGACGAUGUAUCGAUUGCUGCUGAUUAUGGUUUGUCAUGUUUCAAUUUCUUGCAACCUGAUGGACAGUGUGAAGACUAUAAAGUACGAUACUGCUGCAGUUAUCUCUACCCAUCCUGUCCCACUGGAUAUCAAUGGACCAGUUAUUAUGAUAGUGACACACCUGGUGCAACUGGUGAUUACGAGACGUUGUCGGCAAUCAACAACAAUUACCCCAAUGCCCCUGUAUGUACAGAUCCAGUAGCUAUUGACGUCCGUGUUACAAGUACCGGUCUCGACUACUCCACAGCCGGCGAGGUUGUAUGUCUGGUUCCAGAACUUGGCUUUUCGUGUGUAAAUUCACAGCAACCCGAUGGACAAUGUCAGGAUUACAAAAUCCGUUUCUGCUGUCCCAAUUAAUUAUUAAGCGAACAGAAUCAUGCAUUGAUUAAGUUUGAGAAAUAAAGCCAGUUAGCUAUUA